GUGCCAGCAGCCGCGGUAAAACGUAGGUCACAAGCGUUGUCCGGAAUUACUGGGUGUAAGGGGAGCGCAGGCGGGAAGACAAGUUGGAAGUGAAAUCUAUGGGCUCAACCCAUAAACUGCUUUCAAAACUGUUUUUCUUGAGUAGUGCAGAGGUAGGCGGAAUUCCCGGUGUAGCGGUGGAAUGCGUAGAUAUCGGGAGGAACACCAGUGGCGAAGGCGGCCUACUGGGCACCAACUGACGCUGAGGCUCGAAAGUGUGGGUAGCAAACAGGAUUAGAUACCCCAGUAGUCC
rnacentral:rRNA from 1 species